rnacentral:rRNA from 1 species
AUACGGAGGGCGCAAGCGUUGUUCGGAAUCAUUGGGCGUAAAGCGCGUGUAGGCGGCUUGGCAAGUCGGACGUGAAAGCCCGGGGCUCAACCCCGGAACGGCGCCCGAAACUGCCUGGCUAGAGUCCCGGAGAGGAGGGCGGAAUUCCCGGUGUAGAGGUGAAAUUCGUAGAUAUCGGGAGGAACACCAGCGGCGAAGGCGGCCCUCUGGACGGUGACUGACGCUCAGACGCGAAAGCGUGGGGAGCAAACAGGAUUAGAAACCCGAGUAGUCC